GAUGAACGCUGGCGGCGUGCCUAAUACAUGCAAGUCGAGCGAAUGGAUUAAGAGCUUGCUCUUAUGAAGUUAGCGGCGGACGGGUGAGUAACACGUGGGUAACCUGCCCAUAAGACUGGGAUAACUCCGGGAAACCGGGGCUAAUACCGGAGAAUAUUUUGAACUGCAUGGUUCAAAAUUGAAAGGCGGCUUCGGCUGUAACUUAUGGAUGGAACCGCGUGGCGUUAGCUCGUUGGUGAGGGAACGGCUCACCAAGGCAACGAUGCGUAGCCGGCCUGAGAGGGUGAUCGGCCACACUGGGACUGGGACACGGCCCAGACUCCUACGGGAGGCAGCAGUAGGGAAUCUUCCGCAAUGGACGAAAGUCUGACGGAGCAACGCCGCGUGAGUGAUGAAGGCUUUCGGGUCGUAAAACUCUGUUGUUAGGGAAGAGCAAGUGCUAGUUGAAUAAGCUGGCACCUUGACGGUACCUAACCAGAAAGCCACGGCUAACUACGUGCCAGCAGCCGCCGUAA
rnacentral:rRNA from 1 species